rnacentral:rRNA from 1 species
AGUUUGAUCCUGGCUCGAAUGAACGCUGGCGGCAGGCCUAACACAUGCAAGUCGAACGGAGUUAUAUUGUANCUUGCUAUGGUAUAACUUAGUGGCAGACGGGUGAGUAAUGUAUAGGAAUCUACCUAGUAGUACGGAAUAAUUGUUGGAAACGGCAACUAAUACCGUAUACGCCCUACGGGGGAAAAAUUUAUUGCUAUUAGAUGAGCCUAUAUUAGAUUAGCUAGUUGGUGGAGUAAUAGCCUACCAAGGCAAUGAUCUAUAGCUGAUCUGAGAGGAUGAUCAGCCACACUGGAACUGAGAUACGGUCCAGACUCCUACGGGAGGCAGCAGUGGGGAAUAUUGGACAAUGGGCGAAAGCCUGAUCCAGCCAUGCCGCAUGAGUGAAGAAGGCCUUUGGGUUGUAAAGCUCUUUUAGUGAGGAAGAUAAUGACGGUACUCACAGAAGAAGUCCUGGCUAACUCCGUGCCAGCAGCCGCGGUAAUACGGAGAGGGCUAGCGUUAUUCGGAAUUAUUGGGCGUAAAGGGCGCGUAGGCGGAUUAGUAAGUUAAAAGUGAAAUCCCAAGGCUCAACCUUGGAAUUGCUUUUAAAACUGCUAAUCUAGAGAUUGAAAGAGGAUAGAGGAAUUCCUAGUGUAGAGGUGAAAUUCGUAAAUAUUAGGAGGAACACCAGUGGCGAAGGCGUCUAUCUGGUUCAAAUCUGACGCUGAGGCGCGAAGGCGUGGGGAGCAAAACAGAUUAGAUACCCUGGUAGUCCCCGCUGUAAACGAUGAAUG